UACAGAGGGUGCAAGCGUUGUUCGGAAUUACUGGGCGUAAAGCGCGUGUAGGCGGUCUGGUAAGUCAGAUGUGAAAUCCCUCAGCUUAACUGAGGAACUGCAUCUGAUACUGCUAGACUUGAGUAUCGGAGGGGAUGGCGGAAUUCCUGGUGUAGAGGUGAAAUUCGUAGAUAUCAGGAGGAACACCUGUGGCGAAGGCGGCCAUCUGGAAGAUUACUGACGCUGAGGCACGAAAGCCAAGGGAGCAAACAGG
rnacentral:misc_RNA from 1 species